UUGAAUCUAAUUCAAUUAGAUAUGAUCCAAACUUUAAUGUUCAAUCAAAUUGAGCUAAUCGGUAAUCUAAUUGCUAAUUAAUUCUCUUAAAUUUUACUAACUCUUAGCGAAUGAUUUUAUUGCAAUCAUUACACAAGGUUAAUUAUCAAUCGUAUUGACGAUUUUAUCCUUGAACGAUUCUUAAUCAUUAAUCAGCCAUUUGAUCGAAGAGAAACUUCUAAUAUGUGUGACUCUAUAGGUUCGAACCUAAGUCAGUAGCAUCGAAAUAAAUUUCUGUACUAAUUGAAGUGACCAUCUAGCAAUGGAAUCUGACGUCCGGAUAGGUCGAAUGAUUGUAAAGCAAUAUUCAAGAACCUAUUGGCAUAUGAUUACCAUAUAAUUCAUCCCUUUAACCGUAAUGCUCAAGGAGACCUAGAGUAUAACUAUCCAUUCUGAAAUAGUCAUCCAUAUUGUAUUUCAAUCUUUCAAAUCCAUCACAUGGAUUAUCUGAGCUUAGAUUUUACUAAAUUGAAAUACAGUGAUGCAUUAACUCCUAUAAU
rnacentral:lncRNA from 1 species